AUUGAACGCUGGCGGCGUGCUUAACACAUGCAAGUCGAACGUGAAAUGUAGCAAUACAGAGUAAAGUGGCGUACGGGUGAGUAACACGUGGGUAAUCUACCAAAGAGCCUGGAAUAACCGACCGAAAGGUUGGCUAAUACUGGAUAGUUCAAAUGAAAUAUAAUGUUUCGAUUGGGAAAGGGAGCGAGCAAUCGCCUUCACUUUUUGAUGAGCCCGCGUCUGAUUAGCUAGUUGGUAGGGUAAUGGCCUACCAAGGCGACGAUCAGUAGCUGGUCUGAGAGGAUGAUCAGCCACACGGGAACUGAAGCACGGUCCAGACUCCUACGGGAGGCAGCAGUGGGGAAUCUUGCGCAAUGGACGAAAGUCUGACGCAGCCACGCCGCGUGAGUGAAGAAGGCCUUCGGGUUGUAAAGCUCUGUCGGAAGGGACAAAAACGUUUAAGGUUAAUAGCCUUAGAUCUUGAUGGUACCUUCAAAGGAAGCACCGGCUAACUUCGUGCCAGCCGCCGCGGUAA
rnacentral:rRNA from 1 species